AAUAAGAGGAAGCAAUUCUCUCUGAAUCUGCGAACGGCUCCGCAAACCAGUUGUAAACUAUAGCAAGUUCGCCCGGGCUCCCCCUUCACGGGGGGGGUUCGGGCUAUACGGAUAACCCUGGUAAUUCUGAGGCUAAUACGAGAACGUACUCCCUGGCUGACCGGGCAACUGGAAGGCUGGGGGACGUGCGAGUGUUUUCGCGAUGUAUACCGGGAAAGGACGCACGUCUUGACCGCGCUCCAAAGGAACUGGUCUUGCCUCCGGGCUUGGCUGGCUCUAGCGGCUCUUGCUGUGUGCUUCUGACCUAUCAACUAGAUGGCAGCCUAAGGGACAUGCUAUGGUUACAACGGGUACAGAGGAUUAGGGUUUGAUCCUGGAGAGUGGGCCUGAGAGAUUGCUCAUACUUCUAAGGAAGGCAGCAGGCGCGCAACGUUCCCAUUGGACAAUGUCCGAGGGCGUUAGGGGACAUAUGAAUGCCUGCCCAUUGGGUGGGCAAUUCAAAUGGGUCUGUUUUAAAUAGGCUCUCGAGUAACAAUUAGAGGACAAGUCUGGUGCCAGCACCCGCGGUAAUUCCAGCUCUAAUAGCAUACGUUAAAGUUGUUGCGGUUAAAACGCUCGUAGUCGGCUUCAGAUCGUCAGAAGGUUGAGCUGGGAGCCUGGGUCUGUGCCCUUCGGGGCGCGCUGGGGGACUGGCGAGGCUGGGCGGCGGUCAAGUGUACGUCUGGCCGUACCCUCGGGUUCACAGGGGUCGUUCCUUCGGGGGCGGCUCCGGCUGGGCGUGCCAUUUACCAUAACCAAACUGAUGUGAUCAAAGCGGGCCAUUCGGUCUUGCACAGCACAGUAUGGCAUAAGGUACACCGGCUUAUCCCCUUAGCGGAGGGGGGUAGGUUGGUAGAAGCGAUAGGGAUGUUCGAGGGUGACCGAAUUGCCGGGCGAGUGGUGAAAUACGUUGACCCUGGCAAGUCGACCAAAGGCGAAAGCAGUCAUCAAGGGCAUGCCCGUUGAUCAAGAGCGAAAGUUAAGGGUUCGAAGACGAUCAGAUACCGUCGUAGUCUUAACUAUAAAUGAUACUGACCAGGGAUAGGACUCUGUCCAUCUCGACUCCUCCUGGACCUUAGGGAAACCAAAGUCUUUGAGUUCUGGGGGGAGUAUGGUCGCAAGGCUGAAACUUAAAGGAAUUGACGGAAGGGCACACAAAGAGUGGAACCUGCGGCUUAAUUUGACUCAACACGGGAAAACUCACCAGGUCCUGAUACGCGUAUGAAAGACAAGCUGAAAGACUUUUCUCAAUGACGUAAGUGGUGGUGCAUGGUCGUUCUUAGUUCGUGGAGUGAUUUGUCUGGUCUAUUCCGAUAACGAGCGAGACCCCAACGAUCCUACUAGGGGCGGCAGCCCGGCUCGCACCUCGGUGCUUGCUAGCAGCCGCCUACUAUGCUUCUUAGACGUAUCAGAGCCGAUAAGGCUCUUGAAACGGGUCAAUAACAGGUCAGUCAUGCCCUUAGAUGUUCUGGGCCGCACGCGCGUUACAAUGGUAUUGUAAACACGUGCUCUCACGGGCGUUCCCGCGGCCGGCAGGUCGCGGUAACCCCUAGUCAUUCCCUUGACUGGGACAGACUAUUGCAAUUAUUGGUCUCUAACGAGGAAUUUUUAGUAGGCGCGGGUCAUUAACCCGUGCCGAAUGAGUCCCUGCCCUUUGUACACACCGCCCGUCGCUGCUACCGAUUGGAUUUUGCGGUUACGAGUUCCGAGGCCGUGGCUUCGUGCCCUUCACGGGGUGCUGGCUGUGGCCAAAGUUCUAAUUACCGCACGGUCUAGAGGAAGCAGAAGUCGUAACAAGGUAAUCGUAGGUGAACCUGCAGAA
rnacentral:rRNA from 1 species